GAUGAAGAACGCAGCGAAAUGCGAUAAGUAGUGUGAAUUGCAGAAUUCCGUGAAUCAUCGAAUCUUUGAACGCACAUUGCGCCUUCUGGUAUUCCGGAAGGCAUGCCUGUUCGAGAGUCAUUAACAACCGUUUCGAUCCCUUUCUUUCAGAAAUUACAAAGAGGAAAAGGGUUUGGUUAUGGUGGAGGAGGGAAAGGGAGCGUUUAGCCUGUAAAAAAAGAGGCUGUGUUCCGCCUCCCCCCCAAAAUUGUACAGGCGGUCGUGUGCGCCCACGCAUCGAGGUGUUGUAAAAGCUGCCACGGCACUUUUCACCUGUGCAGUGCGAGAUUGGCCAGCCGGUUUAAAAACCCCUCCAAACCAUCAAAGGUUGACCUCGGAUCAGGUAGGGAUACCCGCUGAACUUAAGCAUAUCAAUAAGCGGAGGA
rnacentral:misc_RNA from 1 species